GGGGGAGCAAACAGGAUUAGAUACCCUGGUAGUCCACGCUGUAAACGAUGAGUACUAGGUGUCGGGGGUUACCCCCCUCGGUGCCGCAGCUAACGCAUUAAGUACUCCGCCUGGGAAGUACGCUCGCAAGAGUGAAACUCAAAGGAAUUGACGGGGACCCGAACAAGUAGCGGAGCAUGUGGUUUAAUUCGAAGCAACGCGAAGAACCUUACCUAAGCUUGACAUCCCAAUGACAUCUCCUUAAUCGGAGAGUUCCCUUCGGGGACAUUGGUGACAGGUGGUGCAUGGUUGUCGUCAGCUCGUGUCGUGAGAUGUUGGGUUAAGUCCCGCAACGAGCGCAACCCUUGUCUUUAGUUGCCAU
rnacentral:rRNA from 1 species